UACAGAGACUGCAAGCGUUAUUCGGAUUCACUGGGCGUAAAGGGUGCGCAGGCGGCCAAGUGUGUGAGGCGUGAAAGCCUGGGGCUUAACUCCAGAAUUGCACCUCAAACUACUUGGCUAGAGCAUUGGAGAGGGUAGCAGAAUUCAUGGUGUAGCAGUGAAAUGCGUAGAUAUCAUGAGGAAUACCAGAGGCGAAGGCGGCUACCUGGACAAUUGCUGACGCUCAGGCGCGAAAGCGUGGGGAGCAAAAGGG
rnacentral:rRNA from 1 species